AUUUAAUCAUGCAGUAACGUGAUGAUUGGCCUUUUUAGUUAGAAGUUUGACAUCUGUUUUGCUUUGAAUGCUGACUGUUCAGUAAAAGUGGUGGUUGCAUUCAUGUGAUGUUUCAUGGGUCCGAUUUUCAUGUGGGUGCCACUCGGAGUGUCUUCUCAGGUUUUAUAUACAGAAUCAUGGUGGAUGGAUGGAUUUUAAAAAUAAAGUUGGUCAUUUAUCCACAUGAAAUGUAAGUAAAGAUUAAAAAUGUAAAGUUAUCAUUCAUUGUUUAUGUCUGGGAGUGUUUUGAGGUUUCAUGGAAGGCGGAAAUAAAAGAGCAUAUUGAAAAAUACGCGGACGCGGUUUUUGCCUCAGAAACGUAGGUCUU
ensembl:lncRNA